rnacentral:rRNA from 1 species
UCGAUUUGGAGUUUGUUGCCUAGAGUGAUGGGCUCCGAAGCUAACGCGAUAAAUCGACCGCCUGGGGAGUACGGCCGCAAGGUUAAAACUCAAAUGAAUUGACGGGGGCCCGCACAAGCGGUGGAGCAUGUGGUUGAAUUCGAUGCAACGCGAAGAACCUUACCUGGUCUUGACAUCCACAGAAUCUUGCAGAGAUGCGAGAGUGCCUUCGGGAACUGUGAGACAGGUGCUGCAUGGCUGUCGUCAGCUCGUGUUGUGAAAUGUUGGGUUAAGUCCCGCAACGAGCGCAACCCUUAUCCUUUGUUGCCAUUGGUUCGGCCGGGAACUCAAAGGAGACUGCCGUUGAUAAAGCGGAGGAAGGUGGGGACGACGUCAAGUCAUCAUGGCCCUUACGACCAGGGCUACACACGUGCUACAAUGGCGUAUACAAAGGGAGGCGACCUCGCGAGAGCAAGCGGACCUCAUAAAGUACGUCUAAGUCCGGAUUGGAGUCUGCAACUCGACUCCAUGAAGUCGGAAUCGCUAGUAAUCGUGAAUCAGAAUGUCACGGUGAAUACGUUCCCGGGCCU